rnacentral:rRNA from 1 species
GACGAACGCUGGCGGCGUGCUUAACACAUGCAAGUCGAACGCUGAAGCUUGGUGCUUGCACUGGGUGGAUGAGUGGCGAACGGGUGAGUAAUACGUGAGUAACCUGCCCUUGACUCUGGGAUAAGCCUGGGAAACUGGGUCUAAUACUGGAUACGACAUGUCACCGCAUGGUGGUGUGUGGAAAGGGUUUUACUGGUUUUGGAUGGGCUCACGGCCUAUCAGCUUGUUGGUGGGGUAAUGGCUCACCAAGGCGACGACGGGUAGCCGGCCUGAGAGGGUGACCGGCCACACUGGGACUGAGACACGGCCCAGACUCCUACGGGAGGCAGCAGUGGGGAAUAUUGCACAAUGGGCGGAAGCCUGAUGCAGCGACGCCGCGUGAGGGAUGACGGCCUUCGGGUUGUAACCUCUUUCAGCACGGAAGAAGCGAAAGUGACGGUACGUGCAGAAGAAGCGCCGGCUAACUACGUG